rnacentral:tRNA from 1 species
UGGAGGAGUGGCCGAGUGGUUUAAGGCGGCGGUCUUGAAAACCGUUGUAGGUUAGUAGCCUACCGUGGGUUCGAAUCCUACCUCCUCCGU